GGAAAGAAAUAGGAUGCUGCAUUUAAAAAUUCUGUAGACGAGGGCCAGCGAGGUGACUCUGGGUAAGGCACUGCCUGGAAUAGUCUACCUGAUUUAGAAAACUAGACCAGUGAGGCAGUGGAUCCCGUUAGGGAAGGGUUGAUUGAUAGAGAGGAAGUCCAUUAGGAAACUGGGCUGAGCUGGAAGUGCUGCCCCUUUCCCACGCUGCACGCUCCACAGCUGGGGAUCUGGCUCGCUGCACUGGGCUCAGCUGGGCAGAAGUAUGAAGUAGGCCACAGCGAAGCCAUUCUUUAAGAGCAGUUUCCACCGCUGGAGAAGCCCUCCCUGACUAUGACUCCCAGUUAGCUUUCUCUUCCAAACACGGUUGAAUAAAGAACUGCGUUACGCGCAUGCGCAUAUCUUUCCUUUCAGGUAGACUGCAAGACACCCAAGUAUGAACUGUGUUCAUUCUCCCACAAACUUAAGGUGCGCAUUAACGAUAUAUCAGGUGUCUAACGGAUGUCUAUUGAGAAACAAAUGCCGUUCAAUUUUCAUCUGGGCUGGAGUUGUUGAUAUCUGUUUCUCUGCUUACAAUCUAGUCCCAUGACUACGAAAAUAAAAAAUAGCCAAGCAGGCAGAGGCACUCGUUUCUAUGACCUUAGAUAAAGGGAGGCUUGUGUUAGCUCUCAGCCACCUACUCAUUGUUCAACCUGCCCUGCAAGUCCUCUGGAACCUGCCCCACGUUGUCUUGCUUGAGCAACCUACGAAUAUAUUUUUUUCCUUUCUUCUUUCUCUGUGCAAAUGACUAGGGCGAUUGUCAGUUGUUGGCAUGUCCUGUGGUCGGACCACAUGGCUCAGAAUCAUAAAACCCUCCAUAAGCAGUCACAGGUGGCACCCUUCAGGAGAGGUUCAUCCCUGUGGCAGCACCAGAGCGCCACCUUGUGGAAAGCUCCCGAACAAUUCGGUGCACUGUGAGCUGGAGAGCCAUUUUGGACCCUUUGGCUGGCUCCUUCCGGGAGUUGCAGGUCUCAUCUGCUGCACUCUUAGACGCUAUGCCUGUGAUGGACUCCCGUUUCGUGAUCAUCAUACAAAUGCUCU
rnacentral:lncRNA from 1 species